GGAUGAACGCUGGCGGCGUGCUUAACACAUGCAAGUCGAACGAAGCACUUUAUUUGAUUUCCUUCGGGACUGAUUAUUUUGUGACUGAGUGGCGGACGGGUGAGUAACGCGUGGGUAACCUGCCUUGUACAGGGGGAUAACAGUUGGAAACGGCUGCUAAUACCGCAUAAGCGCACAGCAUCGCAUGAUGCAGUGUGAAAAACUCCGGUGGUAUAAGAUGGACCCGCGUUGGAUUAGCUAGUUGGUGAGGUAACGGCCCACCAAGGCGACGAUCCAUAGCCGACCUGAGAGGGUGACCGGCCACAUUGGGACUGAGACACGGCCCAAACUCCUACGGGAGGCAGCAGUGGGGAAUAUUGCACAAUGGGCGAAAGCCUGAUGCAGCGACGCCGCGUGAGCGAAGAAGUAUUUCGGUAUGUAAAGCUCUAUCAGCAGGGAAGAUAAUGACGGUACCUGACUAAGAAGCACCGGCUAAAUACGUG
rnacentral:rRNA from 1 species